rnacentral:rRNA from 1 species
ACAGCAGCAGCCACGGUAAAACGUAGGGUGCAAGCGUUAAUCGGAAUUACUGGGCGUAAAGCGUGCGCAGGCGGUUUGUUAAGACAGAUGUGAAAUCCCCGGGCUCAACCUGGGAACUGCAUUUGUGACUGGCAAGCUAGAGUAUGGCAGAGGGGGGUGGAAUUCCGCGUGUAGCAGUGAAAUGCGUAGAUAUGCGGAGGAACACCGAUGGCGAAGGCAGCCCCCUGGGCCAAUACUGACGCUCAUGCACGAAAGCGUGGGGAGCAAACAGGAUUAGAUACCCGUGUAGUCCCUGUCUCUUAUAC